GUUUUUUAAGUCUGAUGUGAAAGCCUUCGGCUCAACCGAAGAAGUGCAUCGGAAACUGGGAAACUUGAGUGCAGAAGAGGACAGUGGAACUCCAUGUGUAGCGGUGAAAUGCGUAGAUAUAUGGAAGAACACCAGUGGCGAAGGCGGCUGUCUGGUCUGUAACUGACGCUGAGGCUCGAAAGUAUGGGUAGCAAACAGGAUUAGAUACCCUGGUAGUCCAUACCGUAAACGAUGAAUGCUAAGUGUUGGAGGGUUUCCGCCCUUCAGUGCUGCAGCUAACGCAUUAAGCAUUCCGCCUGGGGAGUACGGCCGCAAGGCUGAAACUCAAAGGAAUUGACGGGGGCCCGCACAAGCGGUGGAGCAUGUGGUUUAAUUCGAAGCUACGCGAAGAACCUUACCAGGUCUUGACAUACUAUGCAAAUCUAAGAGAUUAGACGUUCCCUUCGGGGACACGGAUACAGGUGGUGCAUGGUNGUCGUCAGCUCGUGUCGUGAGAUGUUGGGUUAAGUCCCGCAACGAGCGCAACCCUUAUUAUCAGUUGCCAGCAUUAAGUUGGGCACUCUGGUGAGACUGCCGGUGACAAACCGGAGGAAGGUGGGGA
rnacentral:rRNA from 2 species